ACUCAUCUUCUUCAAUGGGAUCUCUCAGUUCUUGAGGGAGAUCUCAAUGAUAUUAUUUUUAUGAUUUUUCCUCCUUUUCUGUUUCUCAUGAUUUGGUGUUUUCUCUCAUCUUUUUGAUGUGUUUUCAUUUUUGUUGAUUUUGAUUUAGCUUAUUGUUUGUUUAUUUUAGGGUUUGUUGCUGUUUGUCACAUGAACAUGCAUGUAGAUGGAAUCUUUCUUUGGAGAUUUGAUGUAAUUCGGAUAGGAUAGUUCUGUGGACUGAAGCUUUGCAUGACAACGAGAGAGAGCACGCCUGUCUGCACUCAUGAAAUGGACAUGAUUGUGUACAAGAGUGCUUUCUCUCGGUGUCAUAUGAUCUUGUAAUCUGCAGAGAAUGCAAUCUUUAUGCAAGUCUUCCUGCUGUCAGUGAUGAGCAUGAAAUAAUGGACAAUUAAUGGAGGGAAGUUCUGAGUUUGUUACUCAACUUUCGACUUGUUAUUUAGUGUACCGCCUGUGUUUGAAGUGUACCGCAUGUGUUUGAUGGUUUGCAUAUGCACUUCAUAUAUUUUACGUUCAUCACUUGGUUCCCACUUACUAUAAGUUAUUUUUAUUUACCGCCCAUUUUUUGUCAAUCAUGUCAUUUGUUAUUACUUGUUCAAACUUCAUGCACAGUUAAUUGCUUAUAUGGGAGAAUUGGAGGGAGCUUCGCCCAUAUCUUUGCUAUAUAUCCUCUAAGCAUUGAUGUGAUAAGAGUUUCUCCCAAGAAAAAUGAAGUGUUCCGUUUACCUAUCUAAGCUUGCCAUGAGCUAAUUUAAAGAAGUCAUCUUGGUUACUGUCUCUGUGUUCCUGAUGUGAUAAAGAGGCUACACUAAUAACCUUGUAGUCUUUGGUGCUGGCACAAAAGGUUUAACUAGAUCUGCAUAUCCAGAGAUGGAGUGUCAUGAAAAGAAGUCAGUGUGAUGAAUAUUUUGCUCCUUCUGAUGUUGGAUAGUCAUACAUUACGAUUUUGUGCGAAACUGUUUUGUGAUGGAGGCCUGGCAUCAUGUUUAAUUAUUUUCUUUGAACCAAAAGUACUGAAUUGAUAACUUGAGCAUUGAUGGAGUCUUGGAAGGUCUUGAUUGUGAAAUGUGCUCAUGUCUGUCUUAUGUGUAAACCCCGGUGAUUGAGUAGAUAAAAUAAAUAAAUAGAGUGCUUAUAUAUCUUGGAAUUGCACGAGACAAACUUGCAUAGACAUUUACUUGAAAUUGGAGCUAGGUAUCAUAGAACAGGAUGUAAUUGCCCACCCAAAAGUGGAUAAAGUUUUCUUCUGAUUUCUUUCAAUUUUGAUCUAAAUCUGGUCAGUUAUGGAGCACUCAUAUGAUUCUAAAAUUAGAGUCAAUUUUUUUUUGUUUCUUUUUGCAGGCUGAUGAGUUAGCUUUGUUGACUAAAGCUAUGAUUGACAAUGAGAGAGAGCACUUUUGUCUGCAAUCAUACAAAGGACGUGGUUCCAUACAGGAGUGCUCUCUCUUAGUGUCAUUCGAUCUCGAUACAAGUGAAGCAUGGAAUGCUUAAUGCAUAUCUUCUCUUAUUGAUAAUGAAAUGCUGGCAAGAAGUUAGGGUGAUGAGUUAGCUUUGUUGAUUAACACUUUGCUUGACAACGAGAGAGAGCACUUUUGUCCGCACUCAUACAUAGGCCAUGGUUGUGUACAAGAGUGCUCUCCCUUGGUGUCAUUCGAUCUCGAUACCAGUGAAGUCUUCUCUCAUUGAUCAUGAAGUGCUGGCAAGAAGGCGGAUUAGGUUUAUAUAUUGCACAGCGGCACAGUUGGGCUGCUAGAAUCAUUACUUGGUAUUCUGGUGCUGUGAACUGUGAGAGCUGGAUUCCCAGAAACUUGCAGAUGUUGGAACUUGGAAGUCAUAUUCGUACUAUUUGAAUAUGGUUUAGAUUGUGGGAAAAAAGAAUAGCGAACUUGAUAUGAUCAGUGGGAAAAAAGAACGAAAAAGGAACAAAGGGGGUUUAAUUUUCUUGAUUCAUGUAAUUUGACAUUUCUCUUGGACUCUGUUGGAACUGUGUAAAGACAUGGCCUGGCCAAUAUUUGCCAGUAAAACUCGUCUACUGAUAGUCUGAUACAAUACACAACAUUUCUUCAAAAUUAUUUCC